AUUAAAUACGCGCACAUGUAUAAAGUACAGAUUAAAGAUCAAGGUAUUUAUAUGCCUUGAACAUGUAUUUUUUUAUUGCGCUCAUGCUACAAGUGUAUACGCCGAAUCGGAUAUCUAUUUAUUUAAAAAAAUACUGAAUACUGAAUAUUCUUUCAAAAGUAUAAAUUCUGAGAGACUUGUAUCUAGAGUAUACAUUUUGUAUAGAGUAUACAUUUUAUAAAUACAUUUGUAUGCACCGAAAACAUUUAUUUAUUUAUUUUUUAUAAAUUUCCUUUCUUUCUUUUAAAUAUUCAAAUGAAAUAAACAAUAAAUGAUACAAAUUUUAAACAAAUCUGCCUCCAACAUCAGCCAUUUCUCUGCAGCGUAGAAACAUCAGUUGUCGGUCAUGUGGCGCCAAGUCUGCUGUUUCGCGUUGUCCACAUCGGCGUCCCAUAGUUCCGUAAUAAUUCUCUGUUGUUGUUGAAUUCUAUAUGCACACAUCUCGUUGCGGAGUAGCGGAGCAGGCCGUGGGAUCCUGAAUUUGCUAAUCACUAAAACUGCCUAAAAUACUUCCAGUUAGUUUUAAUAUGUUAAUUCUUUACAGUUUUCAGCUAGGGCAAAAUAUAGUCUUCAUAUCAUCUUGGUAAAAUAGUCUUCAUAUUCAAUUUAUUUGCAAACUGUGUCGGGUAUUUUCAAUAAGAAUUGCAUGGGGAAUAAAAGUAUAAUACUCUGACGAGAAUCUGACAUCGUGUAAAUAUAUCUGUUGCUAAAAUGUUUCUUGUUUGUCUUGUUUCUUUGUUGUUUUCUACACAGAAUUUCAGAUUAUUUCUUUUUCCAUUUUAACAUUUUUCAUAAAUUCUGUCUGGACAAAGUUUCUUUAAUUGUAGAUGGAGAGAAAGACUGAUAUAUCAUUAUAGCUCGAGGUUAUUUUUCGUUGAUUGUUGUAUUAUUCAUGAUUUUAUCUUUGUCACUUUGGCGUUCCACCAGGAAGUGGCUGAUAUAGUUGACUUAUAAUAAGUCCUUGAGGGCUGUUAUUGUUACGCAGUUUCUCAUUGGUCAAUAUCGUGCGUUCAACCGUGAAUUUGUCAGUCCCUUUUUGCAUAUGUGGUAGAAGCUGUUAGUUAACUGGCAUUGUCUUCUUGCUUGUAUUGUGUGCAGACGUGUUUUAGAAAUUUUGCUUGAAAUUUAAUUAAAGUUCCACCGUAAUACGAGCACUCAGAUAUAAUAAAGGAUAUAACAAUGGACAUGAGGAAUGAUUACACGUAUUCAAGUUAUUAUAAGGUAAGUACUUUAUAUAUUUAUCUUUUAACUGAUAUAAAUUGUUUUAAAUAAAAAAAAAUACUCUAACAUUUACUUUGCAUUUGCAAACAGACUUAUAUUUUAUGAAUUAUUUCGCCAAAAUUUUUCGGUCAAGUGAAUUUGAUACAUAGUUAAACGAAUAACAAAAUGUUUGUUCUGGUUGCCGCAUUUUUUUUUAUUUCACAGCAUUUGUGACCACGUUUACUUUAUUAGUUUAAAAAGAUGACAAUAUAACUUUAAAUUAAAUACUUCAAUGAUAUGAACUUUGAAACAUGUAUUGUUGAUACAAAAAAUAGAAUUAAUAUGAUUACAGCAAUUUAUUCAUUUGGUGGAAAUGUAUCGCGGUAAAUGUGCUUUAACUAUAAUUGCUAGUAAAAUAAUGUGCUUGUUCUCACAAAAAAGGUAUGAGAACACUAAAUCGAAAUCAACAAAAUUAUAUAUGCAAUAAAAGUAAUUACGUAUUGUAAGCCUUACUUAUUCGGCUUAUUCUAGGAUAUAUUAUUAAAUUGUUGUUAUGCCUCUUAAUUUUAGUCGUAUUUGCAUUUUACUAUUAAGAAAAAAAAUACGUGUAAAAAAAAAAGUCAUUAGAUACUGGCAAAGCGUACGUGCUUUAAUAAAACAUAAAUCUCGUAUAGAAAACUUCAAAUGGGUUGAAUAUAACUAAUUCUUUUUUCUUAAUCUAAACUAAAAUCUUCAGAAAUACGUUUAAACAGGUGCUAGGAGAUAUUUACCAUGACACCAGAUUUGUAACAGGUGCUUGUAAAAACCUAUCAUGACACCGAUUUCUGGAACAGGUGCGUGGAGAAAUUUAUCAUGACACCAGUUAAUGUAAACAGGUGCGUGGAGAAACUUAUCGUGACACCGGUUUUUAUACUCUACAGACUGCAGCUGACAUUAAAUUGCAGAAACAAAACACAAAAUAUACAUAAAAAUACUCGUUUGACAAAGACUGGGUAUCCAUGUCAUCCGUCUCUAUGGACUGAUCAGAAUGCGAAGCACCUGAUUCCAUACGGGAUUCAUUAUCAAGUAUCAGAAACAUCAGAUUCAUCAUGACUGCUUGAGCUAGAAUCAUCUGGAGGUAUUACAUAGUUAACCCUUCGUCUUGGAUAACCUUUAACAGCUUUGCGUUCGGGCCAUUCAGCAAUGUCAGCAAGCCUAAUCUGAUCUGCAUGUAGUUGAACAACUGAGUUGUCAAGCUGGUUCUUAAUAAGGACCUCCCUAAAGGCAGAACUUGUAAAUUCUGACCCUCGGUCAUGAAUUAUCUGGAGAGGACAUCCAUAUCUAGGAUAUAUCUCAUUCAAAAGUAAGUCUAUUACUGUAUUUGUACUUUUAUCAGGAGCUGCGAAAGCUUCUGGAAAACCACUGAACAUG
rnacentral:lncRNA from 1 species